rnacentral:rRNA from 1 species
CCUACGGGUGGCAGCAGUGGGGAAUAUUGGUCAAUGGGCGCGAGCCUGAACCAGCCAAGUAGCGUGAAGGAUGACUGCCCUACGGGUUGUAAACUUCUUUUAUAAAGGAAUAAAGUGAGGCACGUGUGCCUUUUUGUAUGUACUUUAUGAAUAAGGAUCGGCUAACUCCGUGCCAGCAGCCGCGGUAAUACGGAGGAUCCGAGCGUUAUCCGGAUUUAUUGGGUUUAAAGGGAGCGUAGAUGGGUUGUUAAGUCAGUUGUGAAAGUUUGCGGCUCAAACGUAAAAUUGCAAUUGAUACUGGCAGACUUGAGUACAGUUGAGGUAGGCGGAAUUCGUGGUGUAGCGGUGAAAUGCGUAGAUAUAACGAAGAACACCGAUUGCGAAGGCAGCUUACUAAACUGACACUGACACUGAUGCUCGAAAGUGUGGGUAGCAAACAGGAUUAGAUACCCGUGUAGUC